rnacentral:rRNA from 1 species
AGCGAACGCUGGCGGCGUACCUAACACAUGCAAGUCGAACGGGGAGUUCCCGUGUAGCAAUACAUAGGAGCUCCUAGUGGCGCACGGGUGAGUAACACGUGGGCAACCUGCCCUAGAGUCUGGGAUACCUCCGCGAAAGUGGGGCUAAUACCGGAUACGUUCCUCGGGUCGGAAGACCUGGGGAGGAAAGGUGGCGAAAGCUGCCGCUCUCGGGAGGGGCUCGCGGCCUAUCAGCAGUUGGCGGGGUAAUGGCCCACCAAGGCGAUGACGGGUAGCUGGUCUGAGAGGACGACCAGUCACACGGGGACUGAGACACGGCCCCGACUCCUACGGGAGGCAGCAGUGGGGUAAUUUCCGCAAUGGGCGAAAGCCUGACGGAGUGACGCCGCGU